rnacentral:rRNA from 1 species
GACGAACGCUGGCGGCGUGCUUAACACAUGCAAGUCGAACGCUGAACCCGCUUGGGUGGUGGAUGAGUGGCGAACGGGUGCGUAACACGUGGGCAACCUGCCCCCGGCUCUGGGAUAACUCCAAGAAAUUGGGGCUAAUACCGGAUGUGACUGCUGGCUGCAUGGUCUGGGGGCGGAAAGGGUUUCCGGCUGGGGAUGGUCUCGUGGCCUAUGAGCUUGUUGGUGGGGUAGUUGCUUACCAAGGCGACGACGGGUAGCCGGCCUGGGAGGGUGACCGGCGUCACGGGGCCUGCGGGAGGGCCCAGUCGCCUACGGGAGGCAACGGUGGAGAGUAUGGCGGAGUGAGCGGGAGCCUGACGCAGAGGCGCCGCGUGGGGGAUGCCGGCCUUCGGGUUGUAAACCUCUUUCAGCAGGGACGAAGCGCAAGUGACGGUACCUGCAGAAGAAGCACCGGCCAACUACGUG